CCCAGACGCAGGCAACUGCAGUCGAGGACACAUCACCACUUAGCCAUGGCUAAGGUUGCUUGCCCUCUUUGUGCAAUCCAAAGGGACUCCCAACACCCGAAGGCCUCAACCCGCAAACGAAGAUACAGGCCAUCGACUCAAAGAGUAAAGAGGAGGAGAGUUCAUCGAAAGAAGAAGAGGCAGACACGCCGCCACAGAAGGAACUGACUUGGUCCCUGCCAGCUCCCGAAAACCAACCUGUAGCUAGGGGACCAUAGCAGCGAACACAGACCUGAUGCAGAACUCAAACCAUGAGCCAACCAGAACGUCAUCAGGAUAUGUAAUCCAAGCAUCACAUUCCAAUAAAUGAGCAAUAAGCAUGC